AUAUAGUUUUGUAUUUAUAAUUAUUGUUGAGUGACUGACUUGGAAUUAUUUGCUAAGGACAUCCUCAAUAUCCAUUGUUAGGAACUAACUUUUAAAAUUUGCAGCUUCCUCAAUAUCUUUUAUUUACUUGUAAUACUCUAAUUAUUAUUUAUAAUAGAUGUCCGUUCCGCAAUUUGUUUGUCUUGCACUUUGAUCAGAACAAUUCAUCCUUUUUUUAGCCGUGUCGUCAUAGCAAAGGACAACCUCCCACAACAAAUAAUCGCCGUUGACUCUAUGGCAAAGAAGGAGAGGAGAACUGCGAGUUUCCAUUUGAAUAGCAUUCAUAAGCAAAACAUCUUUAUACGACGUCGCGUUUGUUGGAAAGAUUUUGUGGUGCUCAAAAAUCUCCUUAAUCUUGUUUUCUUCCCACAAAUCACAUGCUUUUGACAAGUAAGUAUUCUGGCUAGAAAACUUGGCAC
rnacentral:lncRNA from 1 species